rnacentral:rRNA from 1 species
GCAGUAGCCACGGUAACACGAAGGGGGCUAGCGUUGCUCGGAAUGACUGGGCGUAAAGGGCGCGUAGGCGGUCCGGAUAGUCAGAUGUGAAAUUCCUGGGCUUAACCUGGGGGCUGCAUUUGAUACUGUCGGGCUUGAGUAUGGAAGAGGGUCGUGGAAUUCCCAGUGUAGAGGUGAAAUUCGUAGAUAUUGGGAAGAACACCGGUGGCGAAGGCGGCGACCUGGUCCAUAACUGACGCUGAGGCGCGAAAGCGUGGGGAGCAAACAGGAUUAGAUACCCCCGUAGUCCCUGUCUCUUAUAC